rnacentral:tRNA from 1 species
GGAUAGCUCAGUUGGUAGAGCAUGAGACUCUUAAUCUCAGGGUUGAAGGUUCAAGCCCUGUGUUGGGCG